rnacentral:rRNA from 1 species
UACGUAGGGUGCGAGCGUUGUCCGGAAUUACUGGGCGUAAAGGGCGCGUAGGCGGCCCUCUAAGUCGAACGUGAAAUCCCCGGGCUCAACCCGGGAACUGCGUCCGAUACUGGAAGGCUUGAAUCCGGGAGAGGGAUGUGGAAUUCCAGGUGUAGCGGUGAAAUGCGUAGAUAUCUGGAGGAACACCGGUGGCGAAGGCGACAUCCUGGGCAGGUAUUGACGCUGAGGCGCGAAAGCCAGGGGAGCAAACGGG